UACGGAGGGNGUUAGCGUUGUUCGGAAUUACUGGGCGUAAAGCGCGCGUAGGCGGAUUAGAAAGUUGGGGGUGAAAUCCCGGGGCUCAACCCCGGAACUGCCUCCAAAACUACUAGUCUAGAGUUCGAGAGAGGUGNGUGGAAUUCCGAGUGUAGAGGUGAAAUUCGUAGAUAUUCGGAGGAACACCAGUGGCGAAGGCGGCUCACUGGCUCGAUACUGACGCUGAGGUGCGAAAGUGUGGGGAGCAAACAGC
rnacentral:rRNA from 1 species